rnacentral:misc_RNA from 1 species
UCCGAGUUGACCCCGGCAGUCUCCUGCGAGUCCCCGCCAUUACGCGCUGGCAACACAGGACAAGGGUUGCGCUCGUUGCGGGACUUAACCCAACACCUCACGGCACGAGCUGACGACAGCCAUGCAGCACCUGUGCUGGUACCCGACUCUACGGGUCGCCGACCCUUUCGGGCGACUACUGCCAGCAUGUCAAGUCUGGGUAAGGGGGGAUGACGUUAGGAUAG